rnacentral:lncRNA from 1 species
AUCCCUUGCAUAAGAUUCUGGUGUAUGGUGUGGUCCUUGGACUUUGAGUGGACUUGGUGAGUGUCCUUUCAAAAACAAUUUCAGUGGAUGGAAAUAAGACUAAACUUGCAAUAUGGGAUACUGCUGGUCAAGAGAGGUUUAGAACAUUAACUCCCAGCUAUUACAGAGGUGCACAGGGUGUUAUAUUAGUUUAUGAUGUCACAAAAAGAGACACCUUUGUUAAAUUGGAUAAUUGGUUAAAUGAAUUGGAAACUUACUGUACAAGAAAUGACAUAGUAAACAUGCUAGUUGGAAAUAAAAUUGAUAAGAAAAAUCGUGAAGUUGGUAGAAAUUAAGGCCUGAAAUUUGCACGAAAGCAUUCCAUGUUAUUUAGAGGCA